GUUUGGAGGACCAGUUUUCCAAAGUUUGGCUGGAGAGGGGGAGAUCGAGAAUCAGGAAAGUGAGAUAGAGGGAGAGAAUAAAAGACUGACCCAACCCUUCUGCAGCUGAAUUUCGACUGGUCUAUGCCCAUGAGAGAGAUGGAGGGAAGUUCAGAUCUCUGCUUGCUAUUUUUCAUUGGUGGGAAUUCAAUGUUACUGUUAUUGUCAUGAAAAAUUGGAUCUUCCGGCA
rnacentral:misc_RNA from 1 species